UGGGUAACCUGCCCCAUAAACCGGGACAACAGUUGGAAACGACUGCUAAUACCGGAUACUCUCGCGAGGAGGCAUCUCUUUGCGAGGAAAGGUGGCCUCUGAAUAUGCUACCGAUAUGGGAUGGACCCGCGUCUGAUUAGCUAGUUGGUGGGGUAACGGCCUACCAAGGCGACGAUCAGUAGCCGGCCUGAGAGGGUGACCGGCCACAUUGGGACUGAGACACGGCCCAGACUCCUACGGAAGGCAGCAG
rnacentral:rRNA from 1 species